UGAGGAAUAUUGGUCAAUGGACGCAAGUCUGAACCAGCCAAGUAGCGUGCAGGAUGACGGCCCUAUGGGUUGUAAACUGCUUUUAUAUGGGGAUAAAGUGGGGAACGUGUUCCCUUUUGCAGGUACCAUAUGAAUAAGGACCGGCUAAUUCCGUGCCAGCAGCCGCGGUAAUACGGAAGGUUCGGGCGUUAUCCGGCUUUAUUGGGUUUAAAGGGAGCGUAGGCCGUUUGGUAAGCGUGUUGUGAAAUGUAGGAGCUCAACUUCUAGAUUGCAGCGCGAACUGUCAGACUUGAGUGCGCACAACGUAGGCGGAAUUCAUGGUGUAGCGGUGAAAUGCUUAGAUAUCAUGAAGAACUCCGAUUGCGAAGGCAGCUUACGGGAGCGCAACUAGCGCUGAAGCUCGAAGGUGCGGGUAUCGAACAGG
rnacentral:rRNA from 1 species